rnacentral:misc_RNA from 1 species
UGCCGAGCAUGCCAAACCGUCGAGAAAGAGCCGGCACCGAUUUGCUUCCCAACAACAUAGUCCCCAACUACAGACCUCCCUCCUCUGCUCAUCGAUUGAGCCAUCUCCACAAAAACCCUAACGGAAUUUUCCACCACCAAACACGGCCUUAUCGGAGAGGUCCACCACCAAACACGGCCUUACCAGAGAAGAAGGUCCACAGCGGUCAAAUUCAAUUAAAAGUUGAGAUUAAGGGAGAUUUAUUUGAGCUCUA